rnacentral:rRNA from 1 species
GAUGAACGCUGGCGGCGUGCCUAAUACAUGCAAGUCGAGCGAACGGACGAGAAGCUUGCUUCUCUGAUGUUAGCGGCGGACGGGUGAGUAACACGUGGAUAACCUACCUAUAAGACUGGGAUAACUUCGGGAAACCGGAGCUAAUACCGGAUGAUAUUUUGAACCGCAUGGUUCAAAAGUGAAAGACGGUCUUGCUGUCACUUAUAGAUGGAUCCGCGCUGCAUUAGCUAGUUGGUAAGGUAACGGCUUACCAAGGCAGCGAUGCAUAGCCGACCUGAGAGGGUGAUCGGCCACACUGGAACUGAGACACGGUCCAGACUCCUACGGGAGGCAGCAGUAGGGAAUCUUCCGCAAUGGGCGAAAGCCUGACGGAGCAACGCCGCGUGAGUGAUGAAGGUCUUCGGAUCGUAAAACUCUGUUAUUAGGGAAGAACAUAUGUGUAAGUAACUGUGCACAUCUUGACGGUACCUAAUCAGAAAGCCACGGCUAACUACGUG